GCAGGCAGGAAAUGGGGAGCAGGGCAGUGAGCAGGCAGGAAAUGGGGAGCAGGGCUGUGAGCAGACAGGGAGCAGGCAGGGAAUAGGGAGCAGGCAGGGAGCAGGCAGGGAAUAGGGAGCAGGGCAGUGAGCAGGCAGGGAAUAGGGAGCAGGCAGGGAGCAGACAGGGAGCAGACAGGGAAUAGGGAGCAGACAGGGAGCAGACAGGGAGUAGGGAGCAGACAGGGACGGGCAGCGGGCAGUGUCCGCGGGCAGUGUCGGAGGGCACGGCAGCCCGCUCGCUGCCCGCUCCGCUGACACCCGCGCACGGCCAAUGGGCUCGGGCGCUCCACCUGCCAUCCCCGCUGCGCCCAAUGGCGGCGCGGCCCCGGCGCUGCGCCCUCCCCGGCCAAUGGGAGCCGGCGCUGGCUCUCGUUAAUGAUGCAGCAGUCCAGGGAAGACUAUCACAUGUGAGCUGGCCGCCUGCCAGCAUGGAGACACCGAGAGAGCAAGCUGGUGUGGAAGCGUCUGGAAGGCACCCGUCUACCUGUCCCCAGUGCUUUUAAAAACUGGACGACGUGCCCUGCAAUGAUCACUGCGUCACCGUUUGCCACUUUGCGAACUACGCAGUGACAAACCUCCGAGCUCCGAAUCGCAGGGCGCCUGUUAACCCCUGCACCAAGCCCUCGCUGACAUGCCAGCCUCCAGGGACACGGGGGGGGAUAAACAGCCCAGACAAACCGGGAAAACAGCAGUCUUUGCAAAGUUGUCAUCUCUCCCCCACGACUACUACCCUCCUCUGCAGUACAGCAAUGCCGGCAGGAGUGACAUUAGUACAACCUGUGCCGUCGCUCCAUUGAGAAAACAGCUCUGACGCAGAACAGAGCAAUCCUGCCCAGCCAAAAUAAUAAUAAAGGCACUUUGGGAUCCCAACUUAGGGACGCCGGGGGAAAGGGACGCCCUGCAAAUAAUCCAAAUACGUAGCUGCAGCUCCAGCCCCAUCCUGAUCAAAGGGUACGUACGUGAGGCAGACGAACCGGACCGAGGAGCCGUGCCCGUGCACCAUCUGCGCAGUCCUCAGCCCUCCGCUCGCUCUGGAGCGCCGCAGAAGAGAAGGUUCCAGAAAUUUCCUUCCCGUUAACCCUUUCGGCGUCUGCCCACUCUCCCUCCCCGUGGGAUUAAGCGCGCCGGGUCUCCAGCAUCGUCAAUGGGCGAAGCCUCCUACGCCAGGCGAGCCCGAGUACGAGGUGCAAGUGGCAGUGGAUGGUGGCAGGAGCCCAGUCCGUGGUGUUGGUGCCACUUCUCUCCCCGGAGCCCUCUGUGCCUCUCUUGCUGCCUCUCUCCCCUCUUGCUGCAGCAGGGCUGUUGCUGGUAGACCUAUCGACGGAGCUUGCUCUCUCACUCUCUCGCUGAGCUCUGUGACGCAGCUCUAAAUUCUCCAGCCUGCUCCUUGUGUUAUAAGAGCGGAACUGCAGCUUUCCAGGGAGCCCGUGCCAGCGGUGCCAGGGCCAGGCAGACCGGAGAGAAUGUCGCUCCUGGACUCUGCACCUUUUUUUGGCAAUUAUUCUGUUCCUCACCUCUCUUUCUGCGCUUCCUCCUCGGCUCUCAGCCUCGCAUCUCCUUCUCUGCUUCUGAGUCAUACUUGCCAGGUUAACUCUUUUAGGAUUGGUAGUCAGCAGUACAAAUCUCGAGCGAUAGCAGCUGAAACCACAGCCAACUUUUUUGGUGUUUUCUGCUUUAAAAAAACCAAAGCAAAUCUUGCUGGCUCUAAAAAACAAAAACACGUGCACGCACACACACGUUGCAGCAGAGAGUUGGUGCUUUCUGAUUAACUGUUUCGGGGACAGGAACCACUGCUUGACUUCCUGAAAUGAAAUAUUUUAGGCCCAUGUCCUGCAAAUCCUCAGCAGGCAGAUCCCCUGAAGCACAAGGCAGCUUAAGAGGAGCUGCUGCUGUGAACAAAUGCAGGACUUACAGGCAUGAGGCUACUGCUGGCCCCACAAGCCCUGCUCUGCUGGCCACAAGACACUGAUCUGAGUGUGGUUUAGCUGCUGGGCAGAUGCGUGGCAUGAGAUAAGGUGCUGAAAGUGCUGGAAAGCCACAGGAUCUUCUUAAUCUGAGCAGCAUUAAUAAGUGUUAUCACACACACAGAUUCAAAACGCUCGGCGUAGGCAGGGGAACUAAUGACUGCGCUCCUGGAGUCACCAGAAUCCACAGAAUCCAAUAAUCCCCGACAAAGACAGGCCACAGGCAGCUCUGCAUUUCAGCACAGCAGGCACCAUCCCCAGGCACGGAGCCUUUUGCAGCUGCACGCUCUCUCCUUGCCUCUGCCCCCCAAAUCCCUGGAAUAACUCCGGUGCCUCCGGCCAGCCCCGGCACCGGCAGGGGAAGCAGAGCUCUGCCAGCCCCGGGAAGUGUGGAGGAGGAUCCGUGGUAGGUGCAGCUCCUGGGAACCAGGGAAGCUGAUGGAGAGGCAGCACUGAGAGGGAGUUGAUGUGCACACACAGAGCAGCGAGGAGCAGUCCGUCAGGAGCCACGGAAUGCAGAGAUCCCUGCUCCACUCCUCCGUCUGCCAUUUUAAUUCUGACUCCAGAGCCGGCUGCGAGCGUUGGGUUUUUCACUACAACCAAAGCUGAAGUAACCACGGUUUUUUCUCCUCACGGCGUCUGAAGAGCCUGAGCUAUUUUGGGAUUUGUCUGUACUACACUGAAAAUGACACCUGUUACGCACAGACACAAAUGAGGAAAAUUACAAGUGCCCGGUUCCUCUGGUAGAAUCCUACAAAAAAUGGGGUGAGAUCCCCUGGGUCAGGGCUGGCUGAGCAGCACGGGCUGUGCUGUGGGGUGAAGGGGAUGACCCCGCUGAACUGAACAGACACCAGUAUGAGAAAUGUAAAAAGUCUGUAGUAGCUGAUGCAAGGGGAAAUCAAGCCUCCAUGUGACCAGAAGAAGUAGUGCAUGAUCAACUAAAUGCCACAAUACAUGGUUUCUUAUGCAAUCGAGCCCAUGGGACUCCAGGCCUUACACAUCCACUUUGUGGCCAAAGCUGCAGGGAUUAACUCCUUCCUUAAUGGCUGGGAGCGAGCACAGGCUCCUGAAAUGAGCCAUCCCCCCAAGCAGGCCGGGCUUUGCUGGGCCUGUGCUGCUUCCAGGCACCCCCAUGCUCUCAGGAGCCCCAGCACGCGGGGCCAGGGCGGGUUUUCUGUGCUCCCACUUCUCCCUGGUGGUUUGCACCACGCUGUGCAGGCAGGCAGAGCCCACCUCGAGAGCCAGGGAGCUCCAGAUGUGACAGAGCGAGAUGAAACACCCGAGCCAGAUGAAAGCUGGGAGCCUCAGAAACGGGGCAGUUCAAGGUGCUUGCAGCUCACGCUGCUUUUGUCAGGCCUGUGGUGCGUCAGGAAGGUGAAACCAGCUUGGAUUUAUCCCAAAUGACUCUUUCUGGUUGCUUUCAGGAGAAAUGGACUGUUUAUUUUAUGGUUUGCUUUCCUUUGAAAAUCACCUGCCCUGGGGUGUUUCUGUCUUUGCCUGGCUCUAGGUGCUUGCUGGCUCCCAAGAAGAGCUCAGAGCUGUGCUGCACUGGGGAGCAAUCAACUGUGGGAGAAAUCUUGGGCCAGUGGAAAACUUCAGCCCUCAGAACUGAGUGAUGAGGCCUAAAACAUAAAGAAAUUUCCUGACACUCUUGGGCAGGAUUUGGCAUUUUCUGGUUUGAACAUCUUCGACAUUCACUAUAAAAAUCUAGGCUGCUUUUCUGAUUUGACUGGAGCCCAUUUCCAUUUGUAGCUACUGGUUUGGGUUGGGUUUUUUUUAGCUUUUUUUCUUUUCCUUACAGACUUUAAAAGUAGGAGGCAGAGCUUUGAUUUUGUAAGAACUGCCUAUGAGGGUGCAAAGUCCUGGGCUAGAAAGGAGCCUUGGAAAAUGGGAAUAAUCCAUGGCUGUGGUGUGAGACUGGGGAGAUCAGUGUCUCCAUCAGAAUGGCAGGGUAGGAAUCUCUUCCAAAACUGGGAGUGACCCCAUGGCUGAUCACAGUUGGGCCCUGAGUGCUUACAGUGCUGAUUAAUAAAACAGAGAGUUUUUAUAGUGCUGAACAUUCUAGCAAGAUUUCAGGACUUGCAACUGGGGUGGUUUGGGCUGGAUGUUUGGGGAAAAUACCAUUUUUUGAGGAGGGAGGGAGGGGAUUGACCCUCCAGACUGUCACUGACAGUUCCCUCAGCACCACGAAAGGAUCAGGGAGGGAUUCCUCGGCUUCCAGAGGAAGUUUGGGCUUGCCCUGCCUCUGUGCCAGGCUGUACCUGAAGGUUCAUCCUCAGUUCUCCGGCGUCUCCUGUGUGAUUUUCUGCUGCCACGCUGCGUUGACCUUAAUAGCAACAACAAACGGAGUCUGACACUCCCCAAAUCUCACCCUCGUGCACAUCAUUACUGCUGCUGGGGUGAUAAAGUGACCUGAGGGAGGCCCUUGGUGUUUUGAGGGCUGGAGGAAACCCUCGUGGUCCUGCCCACACUUCCAGCUUCCUGCCAGGGAAGCCUUGGCUCGGGUUUGGGUUUAAAUGCCAUCGGCCACACCUUCCCCCAGCGCAGGAAGCACGAUUGUUGAAAUCAGGGCAUGUUCCUGUUUCACUGAAAGGCUGAGAUAAAUAAUCCAAAGGCCUCGUUUAUGCCAAGUGAAUUCCUGCCCGGGCCGGAGCAAGUCUGGGCAGCUGUAAAUGUGUAACCCCUCGACCUCGCUUGGCACAUCCCCGCGGGAGUGGCUGGCCACAGACGGAAGGAGCAAAGAAUCGGGCAAAGGUGGACAGGGCAGUGGAAAAGUUUCUUCGCUUUACCAACCCGGAGGCUUAAAAGCUGCUGUAAAAUGCAGAAUGGUCAGUUUUUCAGGUGCUGAUGUGGGGUAGCUCUUGUCGGAUUUGCCAGUGAUACCUCAUCCUUACAAACAGCCUCAGUGAGGGACAGAGUCACAACUAACAUUCAGGGUUUGUUUUUUUCCAAAAGGUUUAUUGUUUUCCAGACAAGCUUCUUAAGUGAAUUCCAGAGAAAUGGCCAGUGAGUCCUUUCUUUACCAGCCCAGCAGAAUCCCAGAAUGGUUUGGGUUAGAAGGGUCCUUAAAACUCAUCCAGUGCCACCCCGGGACAUCUUCUACCAUCCCAGGCUGCUCCAAGCCCCAUCCAGCCUGGCCUUGGAUGCCUCCAGGGAUCCAGGGACAGCCACUGGGCACCCUGUUCCAUUUGGAACUCUGCUGCUCUCCCUGGGGUCCCACGCAGCAGGAGGAAGAGCAGCAGGCAGAUAAAGAGCAACAAACCCCUUCCCAGACAGUUCCAAAGCGGAUUUUGUGUGUCUGUUUGGGUGUGCUCAGCUGACAGCCCCACAGAGAGCGGGCCAGGGGGCUCACGGUGCCCCUCGGGAGGUGGUCCAAAGGAAUUGUGUGGAACAGCUGGUGCUGGGAUCGAAAGCCAGCCCUGCCAGCCCUGCCAGAGGUGUGGGCUCGCUCCCGGGCGCUGUUGGGGAUGUGUUGGCACGGCUGUGCUGGCACUGGGGAGUCGCAUUGGCAUGGAGCGUUUGCAUUCUCGGUGUGAACCCAGCCCACGGCACAGAGCAGGCACUGGGAUGGGAGCCCGCAGGUGAAAACCUGGAAUUUUUCCGGUGAAGUCUAAGAAACCCAGCUGGAAGUGCCAGGAUGCUUUUCAAAGAGGUGGCACCGCAUUGACAUCCCAGCCGCUUCAAGGCACCGCUUCGUGGCCUGUGUGGGACUCGGGGCCGGGGUAUUUGGGAUGCUCAGCCCACACCAGAAUUCCCGGUGGGAUACAGGGACACCGCCCUCACCCCCGGGACCCCCGGCCGCCCUCCCAGCGCUGGCAGCGGCUGUGGGGGCAGCUCCCGAUGCAAGGAGCCAGCAGCGCGGAGACAAAAGGAAUUAUUUCAGCUAUUAGCUGCUAAGAAUAGAGGCGGCGGGGGUGCUGAGGUGCCUGACAGCGCAGCCGGAGGAGCAGCGAUUGCAGGGGGAGCACGGAAAUAGCCGCGCUCCAGCUCAGCACCCCCAGCUCCGUGAGUCACCCCGGCCCGGGGCACAGGGGGCGGGCAGGGGCCGAGCCGGGCAGGGACCGAACCGGGCAGGGACGGAACCGGGCAGGGACCGAACCGGGCAGGGACCGAACCGGGCAGGGACCGAACCGGGCAGGGACCGAGCCGGGCAGGGACCGAACCGGGCAGGACUGAACCGGGCAGGGACCGAACCGGGCAGGGACCGAACCGGGCAGGGACCGAACCGGGCAGGGACGGAACCGGGCAGGAUCCGAACCCAGCAAGGAUCCAAACCCAGCAGGGUCCGAACUGGGCAGGAUCCAAACCCAGCAGGGUCCGAACUGGGCAGGAUCCAAACCCGGCAGGGUCCGAACCCAGCAGGAUCUAAACCCAGCAGGAUUCAAACCCAGCAGGGUCCAAACCCAGAGGGAUCCAAACCCAGCAGGGUCCAAACCCCACAGAACCGGCCCCGGGCUGGGUUUGCAGGGCAGCUUUGGGCACGGGCCCCUGGUUUUCCCUGCGGAGCAUCUUCCCAAUCGCCAGGAGAAGCCCAAAGAGCUGCUCUGGCUCCCCGUGCUCUGCUCCCUGGGCAGCAGGUCCUGCUCUGGCACGGGCCGGGAGGAUUUGGGAAAGGCAAACAUUCCCGGGCCAGAGCAGCCUCUUGAUGUCGGUCCAACUGUGUUCCAGGGUGUUUUCCCAAGUCUAAUCUCGAAGUUCCCUUUGCAAAUACCUCAUAAAAGGUUAAAGAUACGCACGGCAGGUAUUUAAGUGUGGGGUCAGUGAAUGGUGAGGUGCUCAGAGAUGGCUUUAACAUCUUGUCCUGCUGCUGUUUUACCAAAAUCCUUUUGGUAUCACUGCGUGUUUUUAUCCAAUAUAACUUGGAAGAGGCAAUUUUCCUUCUGUGCUGUUUGUGCAGCGCAGGGUACAACACAUUCCUGAUCUAUGACGAGGUUUCCAAACUCCAUAGUAAAAUGAAUAAUAAUGAUAGUAAAUGUUGUAUAACUUUUUUUUUUUUUUUUUAAUAAUACAGCAAUCUUUGUAUUACUUCAGUGCUGGAUUUUCCAGUUAUUGUAGAUAGGGGGAAAAAAAGAUUAAAAAAAAAAACCAAGGAAUAACAAUGAAUUAGGAAAAAAAAAAAACCAAAAAAAAAAACCAACCAAGAACUGAAAUAAAUUCAAGGUUUGUAAGGAAAGAAAAAUCAGUCCUGGGUGCCACUGCAGAAAGAGUCAAGCUGGACAGAAUUAAACAUCUCAGCUGGAGCGUGGACAGGGCAGCAGACAGCCUGCUAAAAAUAGAUUAAUCCCAAUUACAGCCACACUUCUGCCUUGCCCAGGUCCCCGUGGGCACAGGGCGCUGUGGCUGCAGAGGGGCUCGGUGCCCGGCUGCCCGCAGCGGGGCCGGGGGCACUCGGUGCCCAUCCUGGCAGAGCCCGGGGGCUCGGAGGGCGGCAGUGGCAGUGACGGUGGCAGUGGCAGUGGCAGCAGUGUCCCUCCUGCCGGCCUUGGCUGCAGCUCCAGCUGCCCAGCGCUCAGCUGUGCUCCUGCAGCUCUGCCUGAGCCGAGCUCUGCGCUCUGCCGGGCGCGGCUGCGGCUCCCGCGGCCUCUCCGCCUAGAGACCGAGCCCUCGGCCCCCCCUGCGUGCCAGGCUCUGGGUAAACCCCCCGAAAUCCCGGCUGGACGCAUUUCCUCCCCUGGCUGCUCCUCCGACUGCUCCUCCGACUGCUCCUCUGACUGCUUCUCGUCAGCAGCGUUGCAAAAUGUUUAGUGGGAAAUAAACAGAUUUGAGCCUCUGUUUUCCAAACUCUGGUAAGUUUAUUUGUCCCAUCCAGUCUGGGAAACUCUGGUAAAUAACUCUUUUCCCACCAAAGGGAUGGAUAUUAAUUACCAAUUUAAAUAGUCAUAAAAUGAAUCCCUUCAGCUGUAACAACUUCGUUUUGUUUAAUCAGAAAUCAGGAGUGAAUGCUCUGGGGUUUCUUUUCGUUUCUGUGGCAGAAAUCACAGUUUAAUAUUUUGGAUUUUCCUGAGGAACAACUGCAAGUACAGGGGGAAUAGCAUGGAUUAAAUUUUAUGUUCAUCUGAGCCUGAUGGGAUGUUUUAUGUAAAAAUCGAAGCCAUGGUGAAUGCCAGGACCCAGCCCUGAGAGAGGCAGGAUCGUGUCCAGGCUGGCAGGCAGCUCUGAGUGGGGAUAAGGGUUUGGAUGUGCUGGGUAGCAGCAAUAUUUCUGCUUAGAACUGAUCAGAAAAUAUUUCAGUUUACACUUCUAGGGCUCAAUCGCCCUUUGCUCUGAAAUGCAGAUCCAGGAUUUGGCUUUUUUUUGUUUUUAUUUAAAUGAGAAAGACUCAGUGCAGAGCAGUUGGUACCUGUGGGCUGCAGGGCAGAAAUUCCCCUGCACAGCCCUGUUUGCUUCCCCAGGAGAAGUCCCAUGGAGCCAGUCUCCUGGAGCCCAGCUGGUGCCAGAGCAGUUUCUGGCUGUCCCUCAGCCCUGCUGUCCCUCCUGCUGUCACCUCCCAGCUGCCUGGAGCUGCACCCUGGGUACACAAAAACCUCCCAUUAAACUUCUGCCAACCCCGUCAUGUAGCAAAACAACAUUUUCCCACUGGGAAAUGAACAAACAGGGGAAAAAAACCUGUUUGGGCAUUCCUGAGCAGCUGGUUUGGCAUUGCUGGGCCAGGAGCAGCCCGUGGCCAGGAGCAUCCCUGUCCUGUGCCCCCUGCUCCUGGCAUCAGCUCUGCCAGGGGGGCUGAGCCCGGGGCCUGGCUGGGAGAUCCCUGUGGGUGUGUCACUGUGAUAGUUUAUGAAAAUCCCUUCACUAGGAUUUUUUCUCCUGAGAAGCUGAGACGCCUCAGAGGAAAAGAAAAAACAAUAAUUAUCUGCUGCUGUGGAAUGCAACAGGUGCAUCUUUGAUGGGUCCAUGUGGGUUGUUUCUACUUAAUGACCAACCAUGGUCCAGCUGUCUUGGACUCUCGGAGAGUCACGAGCUUUUGUUGUCAUUCCAUUCCAUUCCAUUCCAUUCCAUUCCAUUCCAUUCCAUUCCAUUCCAUUCCAUUCCAUUCCAUUCCAUCCCAUUCCAUUCCUUUUCCUUUCUAGCUUUCUGUCUGUGUCAUUUUCUCUAUUCUUUUAGUAUAGCAUUUUUAAUACAAUAUAAUAUCAUAAAAUAAUAAAUCAGCCUUCUGAGAAGAUGGA